rnacentral:lncRNA from 1 species
CACCAAAAAUAAAGCACCAUAUAUCAUAUAUGCCAGUAUUCCAAAAACAUAAAUGUCCAACUUAAAUUGCCAAGAGUUAUGGACAGAUGUUACAAAAUACUGCUAUAACAAUAUUAGUGAUACAGUGCAUGAAAUCAGGUCAACAACCAAAAGCCUCUGUUUGUCACCUUCGUGACUGCUUCCAAAAACAAACCAAUUAGUAACGAAAUUUAUUGCCUAAAAAUUUAUCCAAAAAUUAAUGACAAGAUACCAAACUGCCUAUGUGUAGAUCUAAAAUGAUCUACACAGAUCGACGAACCAAAGUGGCACAGAAUAAUGAUUUACACAGAGAAGUACUGAACCCAGAAACCAAGUAGCUCUGAUACUAGUUUGUAAGGAUUUACGGUUGAUUUUCUAAAAAAAGAUUUGUAAUAAAACCAACAACACACAACAAAAAACACAAAACGAACACAAGAAUACCAAAGAUGUUAACACAGUUCAACCAAAAUAGGCCUAAUCUAGGGGACUCAGGGACAACCCGUUCCACUAUGACACAAUCUACCUUCCAAGAGAGCAAGAAUACAUAAAAAAACCACUCAAAUCACAAGAUUUCAGCACCGAUCUAAAAGAUCUCGUGAAACACAACCCACGAAAUCAACCAAACGUUUAGGAGUUUAACAAUACAAAGAUCAGCCACUGUCUUGGGUCUGAUCACUAACAAAAACCACAAACUCCAUUUUAAAGAUCACAGAAACCUUAAAAUACAAGAGAAAAAUUUUAGACUCAGAGACAAAGUAGAGAGAGGCUGAGAAGAGAGAAGGAGAAAAAUCUGGAAUGAACCAAAAGUCAUGAGACUUUUGGGUAGAAAAGGAUGGUCUACCUCCCAAGGGUCAAUCUCGGCAUUCUAUUUAAUCCAACGGUCCAAAACGAGUCUCAACUAGCACAGUCCAAUUGAGUAUCAAAUGUUAAUAAUCGAGUGCCAAUUAGGCAGCAUUUUUCAAGUAAGCAAAAAUUUAUCCACAAAUUAAUGACAAGAUACCAAACCGCAUGUGUGUAGAUCUGAAACGAUCUACAUAGAUCGACAAACCAGAGUGGCCCAGAAUAAUGAUUUACACAGAGAAGUACCGAACCCAGAAGCCAAGUGGCUCUAAUACUAGUUUGUAAGGAUUUACGGUUGAUUUUCUAAAAAAGAUUUGUAAUAAAACCAACAACACACAACAAGAAACACAAAACGAACACAAGAACAUCAACGAUGUUGACACAGUUCAGCCGAAAAUAGACCUAAUCUGGGGGGCUCAGGGACAGCCCGUUCCACUAUGGCACAAUCUAUCUUCCAAGAGAGCAAGAGUACAUCAAGAACCACUCAGAUCAUAAGGUUUCAGUCACUGAUCUAAAAGAUCUUGUGAAAUACAACCCACGAAAUUAACCAAACGUUUAGGAGUUUAACAAUACAAAGAUCAACCACUGUCUUAGGUUUGAUCACUAACAAAAAUUACAAACUCCAUUUUAAAGAUCACAGAAACCUUACAAUACAAGAGAAAAAUUUUAGACUCAGAGACGAAGUAGAGAGAGACCCAGAAGAGAGAAGGAGAAAAAUUUGGAAUGAACCAAAAGUCUCGAGACUUUUGGGUAGAAAAGGACGGUCCACCUCCCAAGGGUCAAUCUCGGCAUUCUAUUUAAUCCAACGGUCCAAAACGAGUCUCAACUAGCACAGUCCAAUUGAGUAUCAAAUGUUAAUAAUCGAGUGCCAAUUAGGCAGCAUUUUUCAAGUAAGCAAAAAUUUAUCCACAAAUUAAUGACAAGAUACCAAACCGCAUGUGUGUAGAUCUGAAACGAUCUACAUAGAUCGACAAACCAGAGUGGCCCAGAAUAAUGAUUUACACAGAGAAGUACCGAACCCAGAAGCCAAGUGGCUCUAAUACUAGUUUGUAAGGAUUUACGGUUGAUUUUCUAAAAAAGAUUUGUAAUAAAACUAGCAACACACAACAAGAAACACAAAACGAACACAAGAACACCAAAGAUGUUGACACAAUUUAGCCGAAAUAGGCCUAAUCUGGGGGGUUUAGGGACAGUCCGUUCCACUAUGACACAAUCUACCUUCCAAGAGAGCAAGAGUACAUCAAGAACCACUCAAAUCACAAGGUUUCAGUCACUGAUCUAAAAGAUCUCGUAAAACACAAUCCACGAAAUCAACCAAAUGUUUAGGAGUUUAACAAUACAAAGAUUAGUCACUGUCUUAGGCUUGAUCACUAAGAAAAACCACAAACUCCAUUUUAAAGAUCACAGAAACCUUACAAUACAAGAGAAAAUUUUUUGACUCAGAGACGAAGUAGAGAGAGACCCAGAAGAGAGAAGGAGAAAAAUUUGGAAUGAAUCAAAAGUCACGAGACUUUUGGGUAGAAAAGGACGGUCCACCUCCCAAGGGUCAAUCUCAGCAUUGUAUUUAAUCCAACGGCCCAAAACGAGUCUCAACUAGCACAG